rnacentral:lncRNA from 1 species
AAAAAGCAACAAAGAGUUAGAGAGUAAUCCACAUAUUGUAGUCUCUGAGAUAAAUUGUGAGUGAGAGUAAUAUCGUAGUACGAUGUUAAAAAAAGAAUGUUAAAUUUUAUAAAGUUGUAGUGGUUUUUUGACACUACUAAGUUGUAAUAUUGUAACAGUAAUAUUGCUCCGCUAGGAUAUUAUAUUUUAUCUCGUUAAAAUAUUUGGUGUUAUUGUUAAUCUAUUGUAUUUUAUUAUUUAUCGUGAAUAUUAUUUUUGGACGGAAUUAUUA